rnacentral:rRNA from 1 species
AUGGCCGAGUCACUGACCCACUUAAUAAAUCCAAAAUCUCAAAGCGCCUUGACGGCGGAGGAGAGUGCAGAUAGGGAGCACCAAUGGUGGAAUGCUGUGAGCCUGGAGGAGUUCACGGACUCAGAUGUCCCGCCAAGGCAAAUCCUCAAGGACCGGGAGCUCGCAACGGUCUGGAUCAUCGACCGGUCGAUGACCACGGCCGAGACAAGCAAGUGUCGUCUCCGCCGCCUCGACGAGAAGAUAGCGAAGUACGGCGAGAAGUGGUCUCUGAGUGAGACCACCGCCGCUCUUGCCUCUGGUAAAGUCCCGCCGCACGUUUCUCGAGGAGGGGGUGGCGAAGGGGAAUCCUAA